CUGGAAGACCCAGGGAGUAAGGAGCGCUCUCGGUAGCAGCGAGGGGCGUCAGCAAUGGCUGUGGCCAGAGACGCCAGAGAAGGCCCUACAGCUGGGCCUCCAGGAAGGCCGUGUGCUCCGUGAGAGGAGAGAUGUGUGUCUGCUUUGCUCACUGCUGGAUCCCUUGCUCCUAGGACACUGUGGCACAUGGCAGACUUUCCGCCUGCUAGACAGCACCUAUUCCAGGAAUCAAGAAAUAUACUUAUUCGCAAAAUUUCUGGAGAAUAAUCACCAGGACUAUGAGCAACCACGUUAAAGCCCCUUAUUCUGCAACGAUUCUAAAAAGAAUGCAUUUUGCCAUUGCACAGAUGGCCUGCACUCCUAGGCAACUGGUGGCAGACUCGGAGACUGACAUUUGCCCGGAAUUGCCGCGACCUGGCUCCAGCAUUGCUCGAGACUGAAAAUGCCAAGAUUUAUUCGAAGCGCAUGCUCCGGACCAUGAGCGGAUUACAGAAUUCACGAUGAGGCUGGGAUUCACACUGCUAAAUUUAUUACAUAUUUUAUUAUCUGAAGCCGGUGAGUGGAUGAGUAAGAAGUGCAACCCCUGCGUCCUAA
rnacentral:lncRNA from 1 species